UGGUGUUGAUAACGAUGAUGAUGAUGAUGAUGAUGAUAGUUAUCAUCAUCAUCAUCAUCAUCAUCUUUUACU
rnacentral:pre_miRNA from 1 species